rnacentral:rRNA from 1 species
AACUUAGCAGAGAUGCUUUUGGUGCCUUCGGGAACUCUGAGACAGGUGCUGCAUGGCUGUCGUCAGCUCGUGUUGUGAAAUGGUUGGUUAAGUCCGCAACGAGCGCAACCCUUAUCCUUUGUUGCCAGCGGUUCGGCCGGGAACUCAAAGGAGACUGCCGGUGAUAAACCGGAGGAAGGUGGGGAUGACGUCAAGUCAUCAUGGCCCUUACGGCCAGGGCUACACACGUGCUACAAUGGCGCAUACAAAGAGAAGCGACCUCGCGAGAGCAAGCGGACCUCAUAAAGUGCGUCGUAGUCCGGAUUGGAGUCUGCAACUCGACUCCAUGAAGUCGGAAUCGCUAGUAAUCGUAGAUCAGAAUGCUACGGUGAAUACGUUCCCGGGCCUUGUACACACCGCCCGUCACACCAUGGGAGUGGGUUGCAAAAGAAGUAGGUAGCUUAACCUUCGGGAGGGCGCUUACCACUUUGUGAUUCAUGACUGGGGUGAAGUCGUAACAAGGUAAGCGUAGACGU